AAGAUUGCGGCUUUAUAAAACAGGGACUGUCUCUAACUGAUAGUACCACGAUGUCUCAACCUUUAUAGAUAAACAGCCUGUAUACUGCGUCGAAAGCAUACCUCUAAAAGAUUUAGUAUGCUACUAUGAAAUAAAUUCUCACAUACGUCAGUCAAAGUGCAGCUAUUAAGGAGAUGAUGGUACACUAGAAAUAAAUAAGUUAUUAUGUAUUACAUUCAAAAUAUAUUGUAGUGAUAAUUAUUGAAACAUCUAUUUGAAAUUGAAUCUACAAG
rnacentral:rRNA from 1 species